UACGGGGGGAGCAAGCGUUGUUCGGAUUCAUUGGGCGUAAAGGGUGCGUAGGCGGCGCGGUAAGUCGGGUGUGAAAUCUCGGAGCUUAACUCCGAAACUGCAUUCGAUACUGCCGUGCUUGAGGACUGGAGAGGAGACUGGAAUUUACGGUGUAGCGGUGAAAUGCGUAGAUAUCGUAAGGAAGACCAGUGGCGAAGGCGGGUCUUUGGACAGUUCCUGACGCUGAGGCACGAAGGCCAGGGGAGCAAACGGG
rnacentral:rRNA from 1 species